UGGCGAAUCGCGACUCUGCCCCGACGCUAGCUUCCACGCUUCCCCAUCUGAUCGUACAGGAUUAUCAUCUGAAACUAAGACCUUUUUGUUCCGUCCUGAUCCAGACAAAUUUUCGCAGAAACGGUGAACGCAAAGCUAGCGCUCCUGUUAUAGCUUCAUUCAUUCAUUCAUUCAUGCCCUCCCCACUGAUCCCUAUGUGUCCUGUUGUAUGACCGGUCAGAUAGGCCGAUUGAUUGGUGUGCUGUUGAUCUGCCAAUAGCCCAAGACUGAUGAGGAAGAUCUCUGCAUGAGCGCUUCGUCGUCGUUGUGGUGCGACAAUAAUGGUUUCAGAUGAGAUGAUUGCGUGCAUCUGGUUUUCUUUUCUCCUCCUCUUUGUUUCGUCUUUUCUUGUACAAGUUGUCUACUGCUUUGUUGCCUCCUUUUGUUCUUUCGAAAGUGGGUUUUCAAACAGUGCACUUACAUAUUAUUAGGGCAGCACCAGCCCUCACCCUUGAUGCACUUUGUCAUGCACCCAAAUGUGCUGUCCAUGUCUGAUCUAUCGAGCUCCUUUAAAUUUAGGCCAGCCGCGGAUCACCACUGAAUCAUCCAUCCAUGUCAUCAGCUAAGCUACCGAUCGAUGCGCACUUU
rnacentral:lncRNA from 1 species